GAUGAACGCUGGCGGCGUGCCUAAUACAUGCAAGUCGAGCGAACAGACGAGGAGCUUGCUCCUCUGACGUUAGCGGCAGACGGGUGAGUAACACGUGUAUAACCUACCUAUAAGACUGGGAUAACUUCGGGAAACCGGAGCUAAUACCGUAUAAUAUAUUGAACCGCAUGGUUCAAUAGUGAAAGACGGUUUUGCUGUCACUUAUAGAUGGAUCCGCGCCGCAUUAGAUAGUUGGUAAGGUAACGGCUUACCAAGGCAACGAGGCGUAGCCGACCUGAGAGGGUGAUAGGCCACACGGGAACGGAGACACGGUCCAGACUCCUACGGGAGGCAGCAGUAGGGAAUCUUCCGCAAUGGGCGAAAGCCUGACGGAGCAACGCCGCGUGAGUGAUGAAGGUCUUCGGAUCGUAAAACUCUGUUAUUAGGGAAGAACAAAUGUGUAAGUAACUAUGCACGUCUUGACGGUACCUAAUCAGAAAGCCACGGCUAACUACGUG
rnacentral:rRNA from 1 species